GGAUGCGUAAGCCCAGCGGCGAGGGCAGGAGACUGUAAAUCUCUCACAUCGGAAACAACGCAGGUUCGAGUCCUGCCGCAUCCA
rfam:Clostridium hathewayi CAG:224 genomic scaffold, scf101